GUUCUCUCUAUCAAACGAAGCAGUAUAUCCCCAUUCAUCUCCUGGUAAAGGACCCAAGUUGCAUAUCUCAAUAGCAAGAAGGUCACCUGGCUUAGCUGCAACACCCUCCUCAUCCACAACCCUAAUCGGCCCACUUAGAGCCAUUGUCUUUGACAACACCUCCCAUAGCAUCAAUCAUUUCCACCCUGAAAAACUCACCAGCCUUAACCUCUGCUACUGGUGGUAUCUCAGGAUGCCAUCUAUUAUGCAGUGGCUGGUUCUGUUGCCAUGGUUUCUUAUUCAAAUCCACCUUCACCACUACUCUUGGACUCGGUGGAGCCAUCUCAAUAUGCAGGAUUCCUUAUCUAUCCACAACAAAAAGACAGUAAAAAGUUGCAUCAUUUCACUGUCUCGCAAGGACUUCUUCUCUUUCUAAAACUGACUUUGUUUUUAUCUUAACCAAGUGGAUAGCAUCAUGAGAUACAUGUGUCUCCGUCUCGCUGUGUGUGGCAAUGCAUGGAAGUCAAAAAGUUGAAAAUGACAUUUUGUGACUUAUAUUGUGAA